AAGGCCUUCGGUUGUAAGCUCUUUGUCGGGAACGAAACGGUUCUGGAUAAUACCUGGGACUAAUGACGGUACCUGAAGAAUAAGCACCGGCUAACUACGUGC
rnacentral:rRNA from 1 species